rnacentral:lncRNA from 1 species
CUAUAGUCUUGCUUAUGAUCGAUGGUUAUUGUGUUUAUGAUGAUUUUGAGCUAUGGGAUUAAGUGUAGGAUAUAUUCAAUGAGCUUACAAACCUCUUUAGAAUGAGAUAGCCUUUUACACAAAUCAAUGUGAAGCGAUCUCUACAUUAUUCUAUCGAUAUACGAAGCUAUAACUUUUAUAACUUAGAGUUGUAAUUUUCUAAAUCAUGCAAACCUUUAUUUUUACCAAGUUAAUUCGUUAACUAAACGUUUUUA